UCCCAGAUGGCUUAGUUGGUAAAGAAUCUGCCUGCAGUGCAGGAGACCUGGGUUCAAUUCCUGGGUCAGGAA
rfam:TPA: Bos taurus chromosome 6, whole genome shotgun sequence.